CGGUCCUAAGGUAGCGAAAUUCCUUGUCGGGUAAGUUCCGACCCGCACGAAUGGUGCAACGACUUGGAUACUGUCUCAACGAGAGACCCGGUGAAAUUAUAGUACCUGUGAAGAUGCAGGUUACCCGCGACAGGACGGAAAGACCCCAUGGAGCUUUACUGUAGCUUGAUAGUGAGUGUUGGUAUCAUCUGUACAGGAUAGGUAGGAGCCUUGGAAACCGGAGCGCUAGCUUCGGUGGAGGCGUCGGUGGGAUACUACCCUGAUGGUGCUGGCAUUCUAACCUCGACCCGUGAUCCGGGCCAGGGACAUUGUCAGGUGGGCAGUUUGACUGGGGCGGUCGCCUCCUAAACAGUAACGGAGGCGCCCAAAGGUUCCCUCAGAAUGGUUGGAAAU
rnacentral:rRNA from 2 species